rnacentral:lncRNA from 1 species
UUUUUUUUCUACAUCUCUAUUGGAGUUAAUUACCUUUUAGUCGUUUUACUCUUUUACCCCACUAGCUUUUCUGGGAAUUGAGUCUUUUGUUCUUCUUAAUUUUGCUUUAUUGCUGUUUAGUCUCACUUAGAACACUGGUUUUGGUUGCUUGGAUUGUUGGCACAAGCAAUACAUGUUUUGGAUUGUCAGUUAUUUGUUUGGUUUUCAAAGUAAAUUGUAAAAGUUGAAGUGGGUAAUGAUCCAUAUACUGUUUGGGCUCCUUAAGUGUAGCUUUUGGAUAUUGCGGGUUUGGCAAUCAGAUACAUUAUGUUUGAUUGUGGUUGCUAGCUUGCUUUGCUUGUCCUUUUCGAUGUACUUAUCUUAAUGCUAUAAGUAACAGCUAAACUAAUCUACUUGAGUUGGAAUUAAACUUCCUGGUUUCUAACAUUAAUGUUCUUUCGUUUCUUUCUGUCAAAAAGACAAUAUUUUGAGCCUUUUGUUUUCCCCUCAUCAGAGGCUAACUGCUGCGGAUCGCAAGUUGGCUGAGGAAGAGUGUUGUGAAAACCAUGGUUCUUGAAACAGUUUUAUCGUCCCCUCAUCGUAGGUCAUCAUCAUUUAAGAGGCAGUUUACGAAAGACGAAUUCGGUAGCUGGUCAACGCUCGCUGAGAGGCAUCGUUUCCUAUUAACAGCAUUGGUUCUCUUGGGUCUCCUCUGUACUAUUUACCUCUAUUUUGCUGUCACUUUAGGGGCAGCCACAUCAUGCUCUGGGUUAAUUGGAACCGAGAAAGCACUGUGUCAUUUAGAGCAGGCCAAGGCUUCAGUGGCAAAGGGAAAGCUGAAGUUUCUCUAGCAAUAGUAGAAAUAACAAUUCUACUCUCUUUUUUUUAAUUAUUUUUCAAAUUUAAGAGGUUGGAAGUUCAAGAAUAUGAUUUAGUUCUGUAACUUGUGGUUUGGGGAGCGGGUUCGAAGCUGUUUAUGCAUGUAUACAUAAUGUGUAGAAGAAUUUGUUCUGGAAGGCGGAAGCUAUGUCAUUAAUUAAUAUUAAUGAUUUAUUUUUUUUGCCGCGGACAAGCCAAAUAGUCAAUUAUUCUUGUUGUUUUGUGAAUAAGCAAAUAUUAUUAAGAUUUUUUAUUUAUUUAUUUUUUAUUAUUACUUGAUUUUUUAUUAUUACUUGAUCUUUUAUUAUUGUGAUUGGGAAUCGAGGACCAAAGUUUGAUCGAGAAGAGUAGGAUAAAGAUUUAUGUGGUGGCUGUUUGAAAAUAAAAAUAAAAAUUAUAAUAAGAAUAAAUUCAGAAUGAGAUCAAAUAUGUUUGGAUAAAGAUUAGUUUUAAAUUUUUUAUAUGGUUAACUGAAAAGUGAGGGCUCGUGAAAGACAAUAUGAGGGCUCGUGAAAUAAAAUAUGAGGGCUCAUGAAUAAUAAUAAAAGAUCAAGUAAUAAUAAUAAAAGUAUAAAACUUAUAAAAUCAAUUUUGAAAAGAAAAGAGAACUCUCAUAAUCACUAUAAGGUCUCUAUUUUUUUUUUAAGUUUUAUUCAUUAUUCCCAUAACUAUAAAAAAAAAAAUUCGAUACGUCUUCAUCAUCCUCUAUUGGGUAUCAUAAAUUAAUUUAUUCCAUAAUACUAAAAGUAGAGUACAUAAUAUUUGAGAAAAGAUAAUAAUUUAAAAAGAUAAAAGAAAUUAUUGUUUAAGAAAUUAGAUUAGUAUAUUAGAUAUUAAUAAAAAUUAUUAUGUGGGUAUACUUAAAAACUAUUUACCUUUUUAAGUUAUUUCAUGUAAAGAUAAAAUAAGUAUUCGCAUAAAAGUGAUUAAUGGGAACUGUUGAGAUAUAAGAAAGGAACCAAAUAUCACAACUCUAAAAACAUUCUUAACUUUAUUACGAUAAAUUUCAAUUUAUCUCUAUUUAAAAUCACAUUUUUCUAUUUAUCAAUACACAUUCCCAUUUACUAUCAUCUUCUAAUGAAAAUGACAAUUGGGCUUCACAGCUAAAAUAAAACUAUGAUAAAUUGAGUUUCACAUUUAAAAUAAAUUUAGUCUUUUGAAAUUAUUAAUUAUUGGCUGAUUUGAUGUUUGGUUCCCACCCAAACUUAUAGAGUAUUUGAUGAAACUAUGAUACAGACAAAUCAUUUUUCAAUCUACAUAAUUUGACUAUUAUAUCCUUCUAAAUUAUGAUGCCAUAUCUUUAUCGCAUCCUCAAACUGGGGUUAGGUUAGUAAUUUGGAAUCAAGAUGGGCAUAACAUUCGAAUUUUGGAAGAAAGGGCAGCACUAGUCCAUGUACAUGAAUAAACUUUUGUGGGGUCACAUCGAGCACAAAUUCCUCGUAAAAAAUUUAAGCACAACGAAACGACAGCGCCACCGUUGAAUGAAAGACAAGUAAAAGACUUUUGAAGUGAGGAAUUUGCAGGAAAAAAAAAAAAAAAAAAAAGAUCCUUUUUCAGCAGAAGCAGCAUAGCAAUGGCGGAAAGUGUUGUGCAAGAAGAGCAUCUCGACGUCCUAACAAUGACUGGCCAAAAAACUGGGAUCACUAAGCCCAGGCAUGUGCACUUUAAUUCUAUUACUGCUUUCAAUUUUUAAUUUUUUAAUUUUUAAUAUGACUAGAAUUUGAUCAACCAAUUUCAAACUUAAAAAAACAAAAAAAACGACAUAGUUUUAUUGAAUAUUGAUUGCUUCUUUUAAGUCCCAAUCAAAUGGAAGUUCAAUUUUGUCACUUCUAAGGUUCUAACUUUUAUUGAUGGUUUGGGUUUUUUAAUUAAUUAAUAAAUGUAGGAGUGAAGUUCAUCGAGUUGGGGAUUACCAUAGAACUGUGAACGCGUGGAUUUUUGCUGAGAGUACACAGGAACUGCUUCUCCAGCGACGUGCUGACUUCAAAGAUUCGUGGCCGGGGAUGUGGGAUAUCUCCAGUGCUGGCCAUAUAUCCGCUGGUGAUUCAUCGCUUAUAUCAGCCCAGUAAGGAAACUCCCCCUAGUCUUGAUGCUAGUUUUGCUGGGAUACCCUUUUUUGUAUUUUUUGUCGUCUAUUUUUGAAAUGGCACGUCUGGUUCAUGAUACAAAGUGUUUGCUUGUUUAUUAAGCUACCACUAAUUGGAUCCAUGGUACAAAGUGAUUACUUGUUUAUUAAGCUACCACUAAUUGGAUCCUUCGAAUAGCUUGAUCGGUAGAUAGAUAGAUAGUUUAUAGCUGUCAAUUAUUUGUUCAUUUCAUGUUUGCUUAUUAUGAAAACUUUCCAUGUAGAUCAGAGCCUGUCUUACUCUAUUUAGAGUUUAUAAUCUGAUCAGUGUAGUGUAACAUAGAGAGUGAAAGAUAAUUUUAGUGUUUAAGUUACUGCAUAAUAUUCAACUAUUAGGUAACAAUCCAAAUAAUUAUAUGAAGCUUUAAUAUACCACAGAAACAGAAGACAGAAACAAAACCAAACAAAAUGAAGACAGAAACAGAUACAAUUGCCAAUUACAUGGGUUCAUAUAUGAGACCUUUUUGUCGAAUUAGCUUUGAUUCUAUGUCAGUUGAACCGAUCAACCCACAAUUAGCAUAUACUGAUUACUUUCCUUUUUAGAAUUACCUCAUCCCAUGUUAUCAUCUAUUGGGUUUCUUACCAGGUAAGCUAUCCAAGAUUAGUCCUUCAAAAAGCUCAUCUAACAGAUAAUUAUUUCUUAUGUGAAGUGGGUGAUUGACUGGAUGGAAGCUUUAUUUCGUUAUGAUUGGUGAAAGUUGCCAUUGCUGUUGAUAUGCCACCAUGUUAUAUAUCCCACGGAGUGUCUGAUACAAGUUCUACAAUAGUAGGUUGUUGUAGGAAUGUGUCCUGUGAUAUCUAAUGACCACCUCGAAUCCCAUGUGCUUGGUUAUUUCUUUAUAAAUGUUCUGUGUAGAAGUUUAUAUGAAAUUGAUGAACAUGAUUAAAGUUUUGUUUCUGAUCCUUAUUGAUUAAAUUUGCAUGUUUUGUAAGAAAGUAUGCUGCUGUACAUGGUGAAUGUUGGUAAAGCUGAAUCCGUAGAUUGUACAAAUUUUACAUUUUUAUGAGUUACACAGGUCACUGUUCCUCCUUUUCUCACGUCUUUUCCCAUUUCUCUUUUUGUUCUUACUUGACACUGCUGUUGGAUUGCACAAUGUUCCAUUCUUUAAGUAGUGGUUUUAAAAUUGAACAUAUCAUGCUUGUUACUGAAAUUUGGUAUUGUUUGCAUUUAGGAGGGAGCUUCAAGAAGAGCUGGGCAUUAACCUUCCAAAGGAUGCAUUUGAGUUCCUAUUCACAUUUGUUCAACAGAAGUCAGUAUCUCAAAUUCUCUCCAUCCUCUUAAACACUCUACAGUGUUUAAUUUCUUUUGUUUAGUAGAUUAUGAGUUGUGCUUCGCCAAUGGCUGUCAUUUGUUCUUAUCAAUCUUGGUAGCUUCCGUCCAUUCCACUCAUGGAAGUAAUGCAGUUUCCUUUUCUCUUGGGUUCUGUUUUGUGGAAAAUCUGGAAAAAUUGAAACAGCAUCUUUCAUGUGUCAUGAUCCUCUUCAAAUUCAAUGUAAUUAUUUUAACAAAGCGAAAUUAAAGAAAUCUCCAGUGAAAUGAUUGAGGUAGCCUUUUACAUGGCUUGGGUUUGCAUUUUGAUUACAAGCACUUGAAGGAUGAUCUUUUUGUUCUAAAAUUGAAGCAAUUAAACUGAAAUUGAUAACACUGUCUUUUUGAUCAAGUAAAUUAAUCAAACAAUACCGUAUUUUUUCAAUAGAAAUAAUAAUAAAUUUUUCAUAUAUAAGUACUUGACUAGUAAAAUAUGCCAAAAAGCCAAGAAAAUACUUAAGUUGUGCCAGACUUUAAAUGAUGUAGGUUGCCUCCUGCUUAUACCUGCAGACUUGCACAGACACAACACAAAAAAAGAAAAAGAAGGGGCCCAUUUGUUCCCUCUGAACGGAAAGAAAUAGUGUAAUUUUGAUUGCAACAAAGGAGUAAUAGGAUUUUGAAUGAUUUCAGUUCUAAAAUUUGAACCGGAUAAAUUGAGAAAUUAAGUAGGAUAUGCAAAAAAUAUAUUGCUUAUUGUCAUCUCAUAGUCUGUACAAGGACAAAUCUGUUUGUCGUGUUUCCUUUUAUGAUUGAAUCAUUGUGAUUACUUUGUUCGUAUUGCUUCUCGUAUUGUGAAACCUAAUGUUCUUAGCAUCAUUUACUUUUGUAUCGCUGGGUUUAUUCAAUAGGUUGCCAGUUGAUCUUGAUUAUAAAGACCUAAAACUGCUUUUACAUUUGAAUGCAGUGUCAUAAAUGAUGGAAAAUUCAUUAACAAUGAAUUUGCCGAUGUAUACCUAGUGACGACUCUAAAUCCAAUUCCUUUGGAGGCCUUUACUCUUCAGGUGAGGAUUUUAAUGUUUCCACAUAGUUUAUUCAUACAGCCCACUGCUCAUAGCUUUAGUUGGUCCAACAAAGUGAUAUUGUGACCUUUAAUGUUAAAUGAUAUUUACAAUGAUCGUAGUAUUUGGGGGGNNNNNNNNNNNNNNNNNNNNNNNNNNNNNNNNNNNNNNNNNNNNNNNNNNNNNNNNNNNNNNNNNNNNNNNNNNNNNNNNNNNNNNNNNNNNNNNNNNNNNNNNNNNNNNNNNNNNNNNNNNNNNNNNNNNNNNNNNNNNNNNNNNNNNNNNNNNNNNNNNNNNNNNNNNNNNNNNNNNNNNNNNNNNNNNNNNNNNNNNNNNNNNNNNNNNNNNNNNNNNNNNNNNNNNNNNNNNNNNNNNNNNNNNNNNNNNNNNNNNNNNNNNNNNNNNNNNNNNNNNNNNNNNNNNNNNNNNNNNNNNNNNNNNNNNNNNNNNNNNNNNNNNNNNNNNNNNNNNNNNNNNNNNNNNNNNNNNNNNNNNNNNNNNNNNNNNNNNNNNNNNNNNNNNNNNNNNNNNNNNGGGGGGGUGGUUAACUUGGUUGAUUUUGUAUGGUUUCGGGAGGCCUUUGGUUUUGUGAAAGCUUUUGAAAUUGUUUGGUUUCAUAAACUAGAUAAAUUAUUCUGGGAGAUAUUCUUCUCUUAAUUGUACACUACUGGAGUGUUUUUGAGGCCCGCCAGCUUAUUCACUUUUUGUAAAUCUCCUGCAAUAGGCUAGGCCUCAACAUAGUUGCAGUUGCUUGAGACCAAACAGUUCUAGCGGGCUUGCCCUGCAUCAAGUGGCCGUGGUCUCAUUUUAAUAGUAAAUUGGUGGUAACUUAUGCUUGUUUAUUAUAUUUCACUGGCCAGCUGAGAGGAAAUGCUAGAAUAUGCAAAUUUCUGUUCAAGCUCAAUUGGCUUGUUGUUUGACAUGAUAUGCUUCUUGUUAUCAACCUGCCUUAGAAUCUGACUAUGUUUUUGCUUUUGCUUUUGGUAGCAAACGGAAGUUUCUGCUGUAAAAUAUAUUGCUUACGAGGAAUACAAAAACUUGCUUGCCAAGGAUGAUCCCAGUUUUGUCCCUUACGAUGUAAAUGGAGGAUAUGGUCAACUCUUUAAUAUUAUUUCUCAAAGGUAUGUACUGUAAUGCUGUGGUAUAGUCCAUUUGUCUAGUUUUUUAAAUACACUGUAGCAUCAUGGGUGUCCUUCCAUGGUCAGCCUUUUUGAAGAAUUUUUAAUCUUCUUAUAAGAAUUUUAUAAUAAUUAUGACAUGGUCUAGUGCUGCCAUCGUAAAGAAGUUCCUUUCUAGCUCGUUGGUUGCCCAGAUAUAUGUUCUUUUAUGCAUUUGUUCUACAAAGGACAAAGGAAUCUUGUCAUGUUGUCUAUACUGAAUCCGAAUUUCAAGUGAUGUUUUUUUCUUUUUACAACAUGUUUUUCAUCUCAAUUUGAUGUAGGUACAAAGAGAACACCAUGGAACGCAGUUUGACUCUACAAAAGCAACUCCGCCGAUAUGCUCAUGUUUCCCUCAAUGCUGAGGUUGUCAUUUUUCUUGUGUUCUUGGCAUUCUUCGGUGCCUUAUUCGUUAUGAUAUCUGUUUAAUUUAAGACCUUCGAGCUUUUAAUUUCCAUCAAUUUGGCAUAAUUUUUCAUGAAUGUUGUGGUUUUAAUGAUUUUGUUCUACCACUGGCAAUUAUAGCUUUUAUUCACAUUAUUUCCUAAACAUAUGAGACAUGUUAUUUCUGACAAUGAUUUGUAUUUCUUGAAGUCAGCUGUCUCCUCUGUACAUUUUCCUUUCUGUAUCUAUGCACUAAAUUGAAGCUCAGAAUUCUUUCCUCUAUACAGUUGGCCGGGCUUUCAGAUGCUGACAAGGAGGCUCUGGUUUUAGUCAUCAAGGCUGCAACUGUUAUGGAUGAGAUCUUUUACCUGCAGGUUGUAUUUAGGCAUUUUAAAUAAAUAGAUACACUAGCAGACAAGCUGCCAAGGAUUUAAUUGUACUGGGAAUCUCUUAUGCGUUAAUACUAUCUACAGUUUAAGACUUCAUUAUGAAUAUAUGCUGCACAUAUGAAGCAAUAUCAUCUUGAAAUGGAUUUUGAUAUGUGAUCAACAAUGUAUUUGAAUUUUUUCUUUGAAUUAUCAUUAGUAGGUAAUUUUUUAUGGGUUCCAGUCAUAUUGGAUGGUCUAGUACAGCAUAUUCACAAGCUAGCAUAUCUCAAAUGGGAAAAAGAAAUACCAAAACUUUGUUGUUUAAUUUUGUUUUUAGUGUAUGCUAAAUGUGGUGAAAAAGGGAGUUUCAGUUUAAUCAACUUGUAUGCUUUGGAUUUCUAUAUGUUCAGAAAAUGGUCAGAAUCAUAUCUUUAAAUCAUCUGAAAUUAUGUUUUCUUUGAAAUGUAAUAUAAGAAAUUAUUUACUGUCUUUUCUACAAGUAUUGAUAGUUUUCUGUAAAUCCAAGAUCUAGCUAACAUAAAUUUUCUUAUCCUCCAAAAUCAGGUUUGGUACAGCAAUCCAGUUCUGAGAGAUUGGUUAAAGGAGCAUGCUGAUGCAUCAGAAUUAGACAAGUUAAAAUGGAUGUACUAUUUGAUUAAUAAGAGUCCAUGGUAUGUCUUUUAGUGAAACUUUUCAAUUUCCUCUCUUCCUAAUGUCCUCCCUUUUAACAAUUUGUUUAUAUACUACCUAUAUUGUUUACCCCCAUCUUUUUGUUGCUUUCACCGGAUUUAUUACUUUCAAAGCAAGGUACCACAAAGGAGAUGUCUGUUUAUAAAAAAAAAAAAAUUCCCAUUCUCUAACAGGUCCUCCCUUGAUGAAAAUGAGGCAUUUCUGACCACCGCAGAUUCAGCUGUGAAGUUACUUCCUGAUGCUACAAAGCCUGUUAAUGGGUGGAAGGGUCUGGAAUACAAAGCUUCAUUUCCUUUGCCGAAACCUCCCGGUGCUAAUUUUUACCCUCCGGACAUGGAUAAAAUGGUAAUGGAUUAGAAGUUCAUAAUGUGCUGAAAGCAAAAUAUCUAUUUAAAUAGCAUCACAUCUUAUGGAGACCCAUAAGUUUCUCUCAUGUUCUAGGAAUUUGAAUUGUGGAAGAGCAGCUUAACAGAAAAGCAACAGGAAGAUGCAACAAGCUUUUUCACUGUUAUCAAGAGACGGAGUGAGUUUAAUUUAGACUCUUCACUAUCUGGUCAUAUUGUUGAUGCAACAAAUCAUUCAGUUGGCUCCAUAUAUGACCUGUAUAGCGUCCCUUAUUCUGAAGAAUAUAAUUCUUAUCUCACAAGAGCGUCUGAACUAUUGCAUAAAGCUGGGGACAUGGCCAGUUCACCUAGGUAUGUAUACUGAACAUCUUGUUGUUGAUAGCUCAUCUCCUACUGAAUCUCCGGACUUUGUUCUUGAGCUGAUUUUUACUGAAUCUUUAUGGCCAUUUGUAGUUUGAAGAGGUUGCUACAUAGUAAGGCCGAUGCCUUCCUUUCAAACAACUAUUAUGACUCGGACAUAGCCUGGAUUGAAUUGGUUAGAACCCUGUACACAUAUGUUUUACAUUCAUGUAACGAUUCAUCAUACACUGUAUAUCAUUCUGGGACAAACAAUGGAAAUAGCAUCUACUCAAAACUUUAUUUUAUUUUAUUUUUGAUUUAUGCUCUUGGGGACGGGGGAUGGCAUAGAACUUAACCGCAUGAAUGUUAUUGUAUGUAGGAAGAAGUUAACAAAUUGCACAUGGGAUAUUGUAAAGGCUAAUACUGACUUUUCUUGCCUUAGCCUUCACUUCUCUCUUCAAACACCAAUAUUCAUGUAUAAGAAACUGCACAUGCUCAAUCUCCUCUGAGAUUCUAAUUAUCAAUAUGAUUAGGAGAAAAAUGUAAGAAGGAAAUUUAAUGUUUUUGAAAGUCUAUUUCAAUCAAAUUCUUUGGAGUUCUAAAUGAGUAUGUAGACCACUGACCAAGACAUAAUGGAUUCAGUGCAACCAACUUGAUGAAGCUCUGUAUAAAUGAUAAGAGCUUAUAGCAGCGUAAUAUGAAAAUUAGAAUUAAUAUCUUUGUAGUUGAUGAGCUUGGAGACUGCAUUGCCCAUAAGAUUAAUUUAUAGACGGUGUCAGAUAUUGUUUCUAGCAUUUCUGCUAUCAUGGUUUAGUCAACUUAAAUGGAGAAUUUACUAGGUUAAUUUAAUUUCACAAGAUAGACGUAAGAUUAGCUAUCUUGGUCGGUUAUCAAGUCAUAGGUUGUCGUACUGAGAAUAUUGCAAGUUAGAUAGACGACCAGCUGUGUUUGUUGGUGGCAAUAUUUUCCAGAAGAAAUAAUGAAUAAUAGUAGUGAGGAGAGUGUGCUAAAUAUUAGUAAUAUUUUGGAAAUAUUUUUUAAUGUUCAUUUAGUUUACAGAUUAUUAAUUAUAUACUGAAUUAGGUGUUUCUUGUGUGGUACUGAAUUAUAGAAUAAAACUAUUCUUGUGGUAUUGGGUUAUUUGGCUCUACUUCUGCCUUCUAUAUCUGUUUGUGUUUUUGUUAUUCUUUUGUGGUUGUAAUGGUCCUGAAUCAUUCUAUUGGCUUGGUCCACAUGACAAGCUUGUUAGAUAUCAGUCUUUGCAAGUGAGGUGGGCUGCUAGAUCUUGAAUGCUUAAUACGAUUUUCUCUUUACCUAAGAGCUUAGGCUUUUAGGCAAAGUAGUUACUUAACAUGGAAGACCAUUGUAAUUUUCUAAUUCAAGCUUUUGUUAGGAAAUGAAGCUGUCUAUGAGAGAUAGAUUUCCAGAAUUUACAUAUAAUGAUUUGCUAGGGCUUUGUGAAAUAUUGUAUAAGCUCAAUAGCAUACUGGGUUUAAAAUUUGCCAUACUUUUGCUUGUCCCACUUACAGAUUUUGAGUCCACCUCUUCAAAUAAUUCCUGUCAAACACUAUUAAUGUGCUACUUGGAGUUCUUGGCAUAUAAUUUGCCCUUUUUCUUGUUGGAUGUAGGAUUCUGAGUUGGAUGUCACCAUUGGGCCUUACGAGACAUAUGAAGAUGCAAUUUUUGGGUACAAGGUAAAAUUUUAUAAAGCAUCAGUGUAGUGUAUGUGUAUGACUUUCAAGCAACAAGAAUAGAAAAUAAAUUACAAAAAAAAGGGUCACCUGUACUUGAAAUUAGAGAGAUCAAACCUUUUUAUGAUUUUUUUUUUUUGGUUAGGUGUACUAACAACUCAUAAUAGCGCUAAGACCCGGGCUAUAGUCAACUUAUAAAUGAAAUAGCAGAAAAUUUGCAAAAGCUUCCAGCAGUUAGAACUUCUGAGAUGUUUUACCAACUCUGAACAAUGCUGAGACAGGUUGUGUUGUCUUCUUUAGCAGUAGUAAUACGUGCAGUGAAUCAGGUUUAAUGUGUUGUGUAGUUUGAAGGUUUGUCGUACACCAGUGAGCUUGUAUUGGAGGCAAUCAGCAUUAUGCUUACUGCACUGUCCAAAUUGGCGGUAGAAAUGUGAAAAACAUCUUUUUACUACAUUAUUAGUCACAUAACUCUGAACUGUUUAGAAAAACUUUUAACAUUUGUUGACUGUGGCCUUUUAACAUUUCUAGCUGAAAAUUUAUUUGGUUCAAAAUGGAAAUUAUAUGAAAUAAAAAAUGGAGAAAGUUGACUAGGAGUAUUCUUUUCUAUAACUUUCAUUUUUACAUAACAUACAUCCUAGUGCGAAUAUUUAUUUGAAAAGAAACUUUGUGACUGUACAUCCUUGCUGCUGUUCAUAAAUCUAUUGUAUCAAACAUGUAGCUCACUAGUUGUAUUAUAUUUAUAUUAGGCGACAUUUGAAGCGUUUAUUGGGAUUCGGGAUGACAAAGCAACAGCUCAAGUUAAACUCUUCGGUGAUAAUUUGCAGGUGCUUUUAUGGGUUCAAUUUGUAACCAAUUUCUCAUAUCUAUACUACCAAAAUUUUGUUGCUAAUAGAUAUUGUUUGCUUUCUAGGUUUUGGAACAAAAUCUUCCAAUGGAUAAUGCAUAUAAAUCCAAAGAUGUCAUUGCUGCUCCCAUUCGUGUCAUUCAGCUUAUUUAUAACUCAGGAGUGAGUAAUUUUUAGAAAAUACCCGCAUGCUGAUUAUUGCUUCUACUUGAUCAACAGUGGAUUGGAAUCUAAACACUCAGUUAUUUUAUCUUUUAACAGCAUUAUUUUGAAUCCUUCUCUGGCUCUCCCUCUCCACGUGUUGUGCACAAACACUCGUGUGCUCUCCCCAAGCUCAAAUUUUCAACUAAUAUUUUAUUUCUGCAUUUGAGUCUGAUCUUAUUCUGAUUAGUUCAUCUGGAUUAGAUUUGAACCAACCAGUUCUAGAUCAGAAGAGUCAUUGCAUCGUCUAGUCAAUUGGGAUUAAGAUUUUGAACCAAAUUAUAAUCUAUUAUUAUAAUAAGGAAUAUAUAGUUCAGAACAUUACUGCCAGCUGUAUCUUUACGGGUAUCAUUUUUUGUAUUUCUUUACAUGCAUUUUAUUAUUUUUUGGGUAAAUAGCUAAGUUUUAUGAAUUUGACUUUACAUCAGGAUGUGAAAGGUCCUCAGACUGUUGCUUUCAAUUUGCCUAAUGAUGAGCGUAUAGUAAAAGAUCGAGGAACAUCAAUGGUUAUGCUUAAAAAUGUUUCAGAAGCAAAGUACAAUUCAUUACCUUUAAAUUUCUUAAUUAUCAUGUUUUAAGUUGUUCUGUUCUGGUAAAAUUAUAAUCUGAAUCUUCUUUUAAAAUAUAUGACUGUUUUCUAUCCAGGUUCAAGAAUAUUCUUCGGCCCAUAGCUGAUGUAUGUAUCAGAAAGGAACAGCAGGAACUUGUAGAUUUUGAUUCUUUCUUCACUCACAACAUCUGCCAUGAGUGCUGCCAUGGUAUUGGGCCUCAUAGCAUCACACUUCCAGAUGGUCGACAGUCUACAGUGAGAUUGGUUAGUUGUAUUGAUUUCCUUUUCUGCAUACUUUAUAUGUGUUACUUCAUGUCAGGUUCACAUACUUUUCUGCAUACUUUACAUAUUUGUCACUUCAUGGCCGGUUCACAUACUAUGAUUUCUGAGUUUUAAUGUGUCAAUAUGUUUUUACAUUGUCUUCUAUAAUAGAAUGAUACUUAGCAAUGCAGAUAUAUUUUAUCUUUAUCCUUGUCAUAUUACAUCAGCAAUGCUACCAUAUUUGAGUUUAUUGGCCUUCUCUAUUCUUAUUGCGGGAGGAUACAUUACCUAAAUUGAGUAAACUCGUCCGUUCAGUUUCUUACCUGGUGCUCAAGAGUUUGGUCUAAGCUAUAAUAACUCUUCAAAUUAGAUUACUAUUCGAACGGAGUACUCAAACGAACCCAAUCACUUCAGCAUAAAGCCAUCUCCAAUGCAUAACACUAUUUUGGUGUAACACCAACACUAAAAAUGUACCUUUUUCACACCAAAUUACUAUUUCAUCUCCAACCCAUUUACACCAAAUUUUACACCAAAAAGAAUAUUCUUCUUUUUAUUCCUUUAAUUCUCAAGAAUUAAUUCAAUUAACACAAUAAAUAUUACUAUUAAUAUAGAUAAUUAAGUAAUAAGUAAUUUUAUAUCGAUUAACAAAAAAAAUAUAGAAAAUUAUUAAAUUUACAUUUAAUUAACUAAAUUAGUACAUUAUGAAAAUUAAACAUUACAUUAAUAUAGAAAAUUAUAACAAUAAUAAGUGCAUUAUGAAAAUUAAACAUUACAUUAAUAUAGAAAAAUACAAUAACAAUAAAUAACAACAAUAAUAUAGAAAAAUACAAUACAAUAACAAUAAUACUCUAGUGAAUACUUUUAUUAUUAAUUUUUGUGUUGAAUAUUUUUUAUUUAAAAUAUUAGUAUAAUAUUCAAAAAUUAAAAAAUGAAAUUAAAAAAUGAAAUUAAAAAAUAACAAAAAUAAUAAUAAUAACUUAAAAUAUUAUAUAAAAUAGGACAUAUAUGUAAAUAAGAUAAAGUAAUAAGGAUAUUUGAGAAUUUUUUUCCCUAGCACCAAAUAUGGUGUAAUGAAUAGUAUUGCACCAUAUUUGGUGCAAUACUAUUCAUUACACCAUUUUGGUGUUGAUUUUGGUGUUACAUUGGAGAAGUAUUUUACACCAAAAAUUGUGUAAAAUGUGAUUUGGUGUUACGUUUAGUGCUACAUUGGAGAUGCCCUAAGCUCUUAGAAAACCUAAACAUCUUUUAACUUGGAGGGAAAAUGCUCCAUCACUGCACCAAAAUUCCAUUUCUGUGACUUAGAGGUACUAUAUUUUAAUGGCGUGGAUUCUUCUAAACAGUAUGAUGAGAAGUGAAAAGUUAAAUGCCCAAGAAAAAUAGUCACUGCAAUUGCGAGUCACUGAGAGACUUGAGCUGGCAACUGCUCCAGUCUAAAUUCAGUAGUUCUUUGACUUAAUGCUAUA